rnacentral:ncRNA from 1 species
GGCCGAAUCCGGCCGCUUAUGGAGCGGACGGAAUUGUGGCGUAUGGAAUUCGCUUCGAGCGCGGACCGGCUGCCCACGUCCUUCUGAUCGAGGCUUCAUCCCAUAGCGGGUGUCAGGCCCUUGGCGGCGGCUGGCCCGGGCUCUCGGUGUCUUCCCGGAGUCGGGUUGUUUGGGAAUGCAGCCCAAAGCGGGGGGGAAACUCCAUCUAA